rnacentral:lncRNA from 1 species
GUGUCUGAAAGCAUUUGCUGAAGGAGGUGAGGCUGGAGACAUGGGAUGUCCUGAAGCUGUAGAUACAGCUUGAAACACACAGCCUCCGGUCACUUGUCUGGAGAAGGCAGGUGAUGAGGACUUGGAAGGGUCCAGAGUAGCAAACACUUCCACAGGUGGUGGAGGCAUUCAGGCAUGGGUAGGUCAAGCCUUAAGUCUUAGAUGUGGAGAAGAGAGUGUUGUCUCUUUUGUGUUUGCCUUCUGUAAGGGCUCUCACUAUGUAGACCAGGAUGCUUGCUUUUGUCUGUAACACCAUGUCAACACCUGUCUCCCCUCCCCAGUCCCUUUGAGGCAGGGCCGGCCGUAGUAUGCCUGCUAGCUUCAAACUUGCUGUGGGGCUGGGGCUGGGGAGGUGGCUCAGUGCCUGAGAGGAUCUGAGUUCAGUUCUCAGCACCCACAUAGCAGCUCAUGACCAUCUAUAAAUCCAGACUCUCCACCCAGGCUGUAACCCCAAUAUCCUUCCCACACGCUCCCACUCUGUUUAGAUGAACUGCAGAUGCUGAGACCAAGAACUUGACAUGAUAAGAAGAUGCAUGUGUUUGAAGCCACAGAUAAACCUUUGUCUUCCACUCAUGAAGAUGGAUAAAAAUGUUGGCUUCUCUGAGACCCCUGCUAGGACGGAACUGUGGUUUCGGACUUGGACUGGGCAACUCUAGCAGGACUCACAGCAUAUCUGGUCAGCCAAGUUCUGUCUUUUCUCUGGGUAAGUGGGAACUGUCAAGGGCUCAGGCUCAGCAGUCUGUGGCUGAGGAUUCAUGGCACCCCUUGUCCUUUCCCCCUCUUCCUUUCACUGUGAGAAGUGGCAGACUGGACAGCACUGCCAUGCUGUGCCUUCUAAGCCUGGGAACUAUGAGGCCACCGGAGAAGGGGCAACCACGAUGAAGAGCUGGCUGCCUCCUCUUCCUCUGACCAUUGUCUCCGACUGUGACUCAACAGCCGACCAGGGCUGUUUCUAAGGAGAGAGGUUAGCCAGGAUGAGACAAUGGCUCCCAGGGAGUGGUGUACUUGCUUAAAUCAUUUCUUACCUGAAUGAUUUAAGUCAGCACGCCGCGCACGUGGCGGAGCAAAGCUGCUCCUGUCAACCUGGAAGCAGAGCUGGGAAGGAGCUGGAGUCGUGGAGUUUCCUAGCCCAGGCCCCUAAUAACCUGAAGACCUCCUACCUCCUUUACCGUGUGGAUUUUUG